rnacentral:lncRNA from 1 species
CCGGCCCAGCCCGCGCCCGCCGUCCGCAGCUCCCAGCGUGCCCCGCGCCAGGGGCCGUCUUCCGGCGGAAGUUGUCUCUUCGCCGCCGCCGCAGCCUCUGCCCCACUCGUGAGGGAUCCGAGGGCUCCGUCCUUGUGCUGUCUUCGCCCCGGCUCCCAGGGGUCAAACGAGGGUCGGGGGUGGGGACACGCAGCCUAGCCACUGUCCUGCCUGGGAUCCGGUCUCCCCCGCCCCCCGGCUGCAGGGUGGAUAAAGAGGAAGAUGUGAAGAGGAGGCAGACAAAAGCAAAAGGACAUCCUGUCAGUAGGAAACGGCCGAAUUACAAUUCAGAUGUGCAAUGUUUGCAUAAGUAAACU